AACGAUAGCUAAUACCGCAUAACAGUAGAUGUUGCAUGACAUUUGCUUAAAAGGUGCAAUUGCAUCACUACCAGAUGGACCUGCGUUGUAUUAGCUAGUUGGUGGGGUAACGGCUCACCAAGGCGACGAUACAUAGCCGACCUGAGAGGGUGAUCGGCCACACUGGGACUGAGACACGGCCCAGACUCCUACGGGAGGCAGCAGUAGGGAAUCUUCGGCAAUGGACGGAAGUCUGACCGAGCAACGCCGCGUGAGUGAAGAAGGUUUUCGGAUCGUAAAGCUCUGUUGUAAGAGAAGAACGGGUGUGAGAGUGGAAAGUUCACACUGUGACGGUAUCUACCAGAA
rnacentral:rRNA from 1 species